rnacentral:misc_RNA from 1 species
GAUGAAGAACGUAGCGAAAUGCGAUAAGUAAUGUGAAUUGCAGAAUUCAGUGAAUCAUCGAAUCUUUGAACGCACAUUGCGCCCGUCAGUAUUCUGGCGGGCAUGACUGUUCGAGCGUCAUUACGCCCCUCAAGUCCCCUGUGGACUUGGUGUUGGGGAUCGGCGAGGCUGGUUUUCCAGCACAGCCGUCCCUUAAAUUAAUUGGCGGUCUCGCCGUGGCCCUCCUCUGCGCAGUAGUAAAACACUCGCAACAGGAGCCCGGCGCGGUCCACUGCCGUAAAACCCCCCAACUUUUUAUAGUUGACCUCGAAUCAGGUAGGACUACCCGCUGAACUUAAGCAUAUCAAUAAGCGGAGGA